GCUGGGGCUAGGGAAACGUACCCGAAAAGACACCUCCCAUCAGUGUCCUGCCUCAGCCACCUUUCUUUUUGAUGGG
rnacentral:sRNA from 2 species